rnacentral:sRNA from 1 species
AUUGGGCACGGUGGCGCACACCUGUAAUCCCAGUGACUUGGGAGGCUGAGGCAGGAGGAUCGUGAGUUCAAAGCCACCCUCAGCAAAAGCGAGGUGCUAAGCAACUCAGUGAGAUCCUGUCUCUA